AAUACUCACUACUCAGUGCAGGUGCAAACUCAGUGUCAACUGCCAGUGCCAGAUGACUGAGUAACAGAGCCGUCAGCCGUCAACAGAUAGGUGAAAUUGUCACAAUCACAAAAUUUUAUUUUCAUGCUAUUUGUGUAUUUGGGAAUUGUUAUAAAAAACUAAAGUAACCUUAAAAUCAUCAGUAUAUUCAGUUUUUCUAUAAAUUAUAUAUCAAGAGAACUUAAUAACUACCUGGUGCUAACAUUUAUAACAAGUCUAUAGUUAUAAAAACAUGUCGUUGAGCUAUUUAACUAACUCUACUAAAUGUAUUAGUUCGCUAAAGGAAUUUGUACGAUUUGCUAGCAAGAAAACAGGAGGUAGUACAAGAAACACGAAUUGUAAAACGAAGCCGAAACAUAGAGGAUGGAAAGUGCAGGAUGGGCAUUUCGUGCACCCUGGGCAUAUACUUGCUACGCAACUGACUACAAGAUUUCAUCCUGGAUUAAAUGAUGGUGCGCAAGUCAUGGGAGAAAAUUUUUGAGUAUUGGAGGGAACCUGUUGCAAUAGCUGUCUUCGCACAGGCAUCUGCAUUUUCGUUACCAAGAAUGCCUGAAUGACCUGGAAUCCAUGCUAAAACGAUGUUAAUAUUGAGGUCAUAGCAUUCCUUCUAAGAUUCCCUUAUUUUAAAUAUAAUUGGAAAAUGACUUUGAGACUUAAAUGGAUUUGACAGUAUUGAUUGAAGGCAACUUUUGGAGUCUGAAAGAAUAAUAGAAUUGUUUAUGCCAUGAGACUUAACAAAUAAAAUUGCUUCAAGAAUGGCAAUUGAUUCCCCAGUGAAAACAGAAGUGAUAGAUGGGCAGCUGUAACUGAGUAUAAUUCUUGUUGAAGGAAUCCAUGCUGCAGCACCAAUAGCAAAAGGUUGGAUUAGGAAGAAAUGGUACAUUAUUUGCUAUGGAAGCCGGGAAAGUAGUUGUCACAUGUGAGAAGUUUGACCCUAAUUGGGAACACCCAUGGGUGCAGAGGAAUUAUGCAGGACGGACUAACCAGACAAUUUAUAAGAAAUAUUUCAAUGUAAUACCAGAAGAUCAACACAACAGGUUUAAAUUAAUUGAUGAAGUAUAGAAGUAUAAUAGGGAAAUUUUAAUGAUAAUUAUUGUAUUUACUAUUUAGUUUUGAAAUAUAGAUUGUUGACAGACA